AUCCUGGCUUAGGAUGAACGCUGGCGGCGUGCUUAACACAUGCAAGUCGAACGAAGCAUUCCUAACCCUCGGGGGAGGGAAUGACUGAGUGGCGGACGGGUGAGUAACGCGUGGGUAACCUGCCUUAUACAGGGGGAUAACAGUUAGAAAUGACUGCUAAUACCGCAUAACCCGCUAGUACCGCAUGGUACAGACGGAAAAGAUUUAUCGGUAUAAGAUGGACCCGCGUCUGAUUAGCUAGUUGGUGAGGUAACGGCCCACCAAGGCGACGAUCAGUAGCCGGCUUGAGAGAGUGAACGGCCACAUUGGGACUGAGACACGGCCCAAACUCCUACGGGAGGCAGCAGUGGGGAAUAUUGCACAAUGGGGGAAACCCUGAAUGCAGCAACGCCGCGUGAAGGAAGAAGUAUUUCGGUAUGUAAACUUCUAUCAGCAGGAAAGAAAAUGACGGUACCUGACUAAGAAGCCCCGGCUAACUACGUGCCAGCAGCAGC
rnacentral:rRNA from 1 species